CAUGCUGGCCUGUAAUGAACCUACUGCCUCUAGCGCGCACUCACUUUGGUUUGGAGGCAGGGAGCCAGAGGCAGUUGGAAGGAGCAGAUGGUGUCUGAUGGCCAGACUGUGACUUCAAGCCUCUGGAGCACCCAGCUCCCUCCUACGUGCCUACUCUUCCUGGAGUAAGGGCUUAAGGACCCAGUGGAGUUUGAUUCUGUGUGUCCCCAAUGAGUCAACAAGUCACAGAUAUCAGAAAGCUCAAUGAAGAGACUCAAGGUGUCAAAGAAGAGAUUAUAAGACAACACCAGGAGACAAAAAGCAAGCUGGCUGUACACAGAAAAGCCAAGAAGCACAAAGGAAAAUAUAUUAGGGAGAUGAAAAAACUCAUGAGAAGCAAGCAAUGGAAAGUAGAACAAGUAUAACUGAAACAUCUCCUCUGGGCCUCUCAAUGCAAAUUCAAAAUGAAUAAAGAACAAAGACAUAUCAAACAUUAUGGAAAAUAUAUAGACAUAUGGCCCAGGGAUCCAGCGUAUAAACACAGUGAUGAACCUAAACAAAGAAGCUAAAAUAUGUAACAGGAGAAAACUUCCCCAAAAUAAAUUUGUUAAAAUGCAAAUUGAAA